rnacentral:rRNA from 1 species
CUAAGAAUAUUCCGCAAUGGACGGAAGUCUGACGGAGCGACGCCGCGUGGAUGACGAAGGCCGAAAGGUUGUAAAGUUCUUUUGCUGGGGAAGAAUAACCGCAGGAGGGAAUGCCUGUGGGAUGACAAGAACCGGCGAAUAAGCCCCGGCCAACUACGUGCCAGCAGCCGCGGUAACACGUAGGGGGGCGAGCGUUGUUCGGAAUUACUGGGCGUAAAGGGCAUGUAGGCGGCUUGGAAAGCCUGGCGUGAAAGUCUGCAGCUUAACUGCAGGGGUGCGCUGGGAACUGCUGAGCUUGAGUGACGGAGAGGGAGCUGGAAUUCCUGGUGUAGGGGUGAAAUCUGUAGAUAUCAGGAAGAACACCGAUGGCGAAGGCAAGCUCCUGGCCGAUGACUGACGCUGAGGUGCGAAAGUGUGGGGAUCAAACAGGAUUAGAUACCCUGGUAGUCCGCACAGUCAACGAUGUGCACUAGGUGCGUGGGGCGGGUAGCUUCGGUGCCGGAGCGAACGUGGUAAGUGCACCGCCUGGGGAGUAUGCUCGCAAGGGUGAAACUC